GGCGAGUGAAGCGGCAAAAGCUCAAAUUUGAAAUCUGGUACCUUCGGUGCCCGAGUUGUAAUUUGGAGAGGGCAACUUUGGGGCCGUUCCUUGUCUAUGUUCCUUGGAACAGGACGUCAUAGAGGGUGAGAAUCCCGUGUGGCGAGGAGUGCGGUUCUUUGUAAAGUGCCUUCGAAGAGUCGAGUUGUUUGGGAAUGCAGCUCUAAGUGGGUGGUAAAUUCCAUCUAAAGCUAAAUAUUGGCGAGAGACCGAUAGCGAACAAGUACAGUGAUGGAAAGAUGAAAAGAACUUUGAAAAGAGAGUGAAAAAGUACGUGAAAUUGUUGAAAGGGAAGGGCAUUUGAUCAGACAUGGUGUUUUGUGCCCUCUGCUCCUUGUGGGUAGGGGAAUCUCGCAUUUCACUGGGCCAGCAUCAGUUUUGGUGGCAGGAUAAAUCCAUAGGAAUGUAGCUUGCCUCGGUAAGUAUUAUAGCCUGUGGGAAUACUGCCAGCUGGG
rnacentral:rRNA from 1 species